rnacentral:rRNA from 1 species
GACCGCAUGCCUUUUGCAUAAUGAGCUUGCGACUUACUUUAAGCAGCCAGGUUAAGCCAUAGGCGGAGCCGAAGCGAAAGCGAGUGUUAAUAGCGCGUCAAGUUGCUUGAAGUAGACCCGAAGCUGAGUGAUCUAUCCAUGGUCAGGUUGAACCUCCGGUAACACGGAGUGGAGGACCGAACCGGUGAGCGUUGAAAAGCUUUCGGAUGAACUGUGGAUAGGAGCGAAAGACCAAUCAAACUCAGUGAUAGCUGGUUCUCUUCGAAAUAUCUUGAGGGAUAGCCUUACGCCAUUGACUUACGGGGGUAGAGCACUGAUUGUCCGCGGGUCCUUACCGGGAUACCAACGACUGUCAAACUUCGAAUACCGUUAAGUUUUACCGUAGGAGUCAGACUGUGGGGGAUAAGCUUCAUAGUCGAGAGGGAAACAACCCAGAUCGCCGUCUAAGGUCCCUAAUUUAAGCUAAGUGGUUUGAAGGAUGUGAAGUUGCGUAAACAACCAGGAUGUUGGCUUAGAGGCAGCCAUCAUUUAAAGAUCGCGUAAUAGCGCACUGGUCGAGUGAUUUUGCGCCGAAGAUGAUCGGGACUAAGCUUAAAACCGAAGACGCGGAUGUACAGCAAUGUACGUGGUAGAAGAGCGUUGUAUGAGGAGCGAAGCGUGAAUGAGAAUGAGCGUGGACUUCAUACAAGUGACCAUGCAAGCAUGAGUAGCGAAAAACCGGAUGGAAAUUCCGGUCACCGUAAGACCAAGGUUUCCCGGGGAAGGUUCGUCCGCCCGGGGUUAGCCGGAUCCUAAGGCCAGGCCGAAAGGCGUAGUCGAUGGACAACGGGUUAAUAUUCCCGUGCCGCCUUAACGGAGUGACGGAGUGACGCAGUAUGCUAAGCGAGCUGGCUAUAUGCCAGUCUAAUGUCGUAGGACGUCAGGGGUUAAAUGACCUGACAUCAAGUCUGAAAACGGAUGGGACUCGAAGCCUUCGGGUAACGGGGAUUCGCUGAUGCUUUGCUGACGAGAAAAGCUCCUAAACGUUGAUGUUUUGGCGUCCGUACCGUAAACCGACACAGGUGGUCGAGGCGAGUAGCCUAAGGUGCGCGAGUGAAACCACUUCAAGGAACUCGGCAAAUUAGCCCCGUAACUUUGGGAGAAGGGGUGCCGAACGGGUGCAUAGCCCGGACGGUUUCAACAAAGAGGCCGCGGCGACUGUUUAACAAAAACAUAGCUCUCUGCUAACUCGCAAGAGGAUGUAUAGGGAGUGACACGUGACCAAUGCCGAAAGGUCAAUCGGAUCCGUUAGCAGAAAUGCGAAGCGGUGAUGUGAAGCCCCGGUGAAUGUCGGCCGUAACUAUAACGGUCCUAAGGUAGCGAAAUUCCUUGUCGGGUAAGUUCCGACCUGCACGAAUCGUGUAACGAUGCCAGCACUGUCUCAACGUGGAUCUCGGCGAAGUUGUAAUUCCGGUGAAAAUGCCGGAUACCUGCAGUAGGACGGAAAGACCCUGUGAACCUUUACUGUAAUCUGAUAUUGGCAUUCGGGUGUUAAUGUGUAGGAUAGGUGGGAGACUGUGAAGCAGACGCGCUAGCCUCUGUGGAGUCAACGGUGAAAUACCACCCUUUAUAACUUGAAUGUCUAACCUCAGCCCGUGAAUCCGGGCGGGAGACAGUGUCAGAGGGUCAGUUUGACUGGGGCGGUUUCCUCCAAAAUUGUAACGGAGGAGCACGAAGGUACACUCAGAGCGGUUGGCAAUCGUUCGAAGAGCGUAAGGGUAUAAGUGUGCUUAACUGCGAGACAGACACGUCGAGCAGAUACGAAAGUAGGUCCUAGUGAUCCAGCGAUAGAACGUGGAAUCGUCGUUGCUCAACGGACAAAAGGUACUCCGGGGAUAACAGGCUGAUAGCGUCCAAGCGUCCAUAGCGACGACGCUGUUUGGCACCUCGAUGUCGGCUCAUCUCAUCCUGGGGCUGUAGAAGGUCCCAAGGGUCCGGCUGUUCGCCGGUUAAAGAGGUACGCGAGCUGGGUUCAGAACGUCGCAAGACAGUUCGGUCCUUAUCCACUGUGGGCGCAGGACAUUUGACAAGAUCAUUCCUUAGUACGAGAGGACCGGGAAUGACUGACCUCUGGUAUUCCAAUUGUGUGUAAACACGCAGCGUUGGGUAGCUAUGUCGGGAAAGGAUAAGCGCUGAAAGCAUCUAAGCGCCAAGCCCCCUUGAAGACUAGAUGUCCCUGAAUAGUAAUAUUCCUGAAGGCGGGUCGUAGACCACGACCUCGAUAGGCCGGAUGUGUAAGAACAGCAAUGUUUUCAGCUUACCGGUACUAAUCCGCCGUGAGGCUUGACCAC